rnacentral:rRNA from 1 species
AGUGAUUUAUUAAAUAGCCGCAGUAUUUUGACUGUGCAAAGGUAGCAUAAUAAAUUGUCUUUUAAUUGGAGGCUGGAAUGAAUGAUGGGAUGUGAUGGGUGCUGUCUUUUUAAUAAUUGAUUGAAAUUUACUUUUUGAUGAAAAGGUUAAGAUUUGGUUGGUAGACGAGAAGACCCUAUCAAGCUUGAUUUUGGCAGUAAUUUGAUCUUGUUGAAUUUGUGGGUGGGUUGUGGCUAGAAUUUUGUUGGGGCAAUGUUUGAAUAUAUUGUAAUUUUUUAUUAUUUGAUUUAUUUUGAUCCAUUAUUAAUGAUUAAAGGAAUAAGUUACUGUAGGGAUAACAGCGUAAUUAAUUUGGAGAGUUCAUAUUGGUAAAUUGGAUUGCGACCUCGAUGUUGGUUUAAUGAUUCUUUAGGGUGUAGCAGCUUUAUGAGAG